UCUUUAUGACCAUAUUAUAUAACGGAGAGUUUGAUCCUGGCUCAGAACGAACGCUGGCGGCGCGUUUUAAGCAUGCAAGUCGAGCGGUAAGCUAACUUCGGUUAGCCUAGAGCGGCGGACGGGUGAGUAACACGUGGAUAAUCUACCCCCUUGUUUGGGAUAGCCUGUGGAAACAUAGGGUAAUACCAAAUAAUACUCUUUUAUCACAAGAUAAGAGAAGGAAAGGCGCCUCAAAGCGUCGCAAGAGGAUGAGUCUGCGUCCCAUUAGCUAGACGGCAGGGUAAAAGCCUACCGUGGCAAUGAUGGGUAGCCGGCCUGAGAGGGUGAUCGGCCACAUUGGAACUGAGAUACGGUCCAGACUCCUACGGGGGGCAGCAGCUAAGAAUCUUCCGCAAUGGACGAAAGUCUGACGGAGCGACGCCGCGUGAACGAUGAAGGCCGUGAGGUUGUAAAGUUCUUUUCGGGAGGAGGAAUAAUGUUUGUAGGAAAUGACAAGCAGAUGACGUGAAUCCCGGAAUAAGCCCCGGCUAACUACGUGCCAGCAGCCGCGGUAACACGUAGGGGGCAAGCGUUGUUCGGAAUCAUUGGGCGUAAAGGGCGUGCAGGCGGUGUUGCAAGUCUGGCGUGAAAGAUCUCGGCUUAACCGAGGGAACGCGCUGGAAACUGUAAUACUAGAGUACAGGAGGGGACAUUGGAAUUCCAGGUGUAGGGGUGAAAUCUGUAGAUAUCUGGAAGAACACCGGUGGCGAAGGCGAAUGUCUGGCCAUGUACUGACGCUGAGACGCGAAGGUGCGGGGAGCAAACAGGUUUAGAUACCCUGGUAGUCCGCACAGUAAACGAUGUACACUAGGUGGUGGGUAAUUAUAUUCGCUACCGAAGCUAACGCAUUAAGUGUACCGCCUGGGGAGUAUGCUCGCAAGGGUGAAACUCAAAGGAAUUGACGGGGGCCCGCACAAGCGGUGGAGCAUGUGGUUUAAUUCGAUGAUACGCGAGAAACCUUACCAGGGCUUGACAU
rnacentral:rRNA from 1 species